rnacentral:lncRNA from 1 species
GAGAGAAAGAAAACCAAAAACAAUGUUUCUCCUCAUCCAAGGCAAUGUGUGCCCUGAUUGUGCCUGGACUGAACUUAACUGUGCUAAUUGCUAAAUAUUUCAAAUAAAUAUAAAAAAGAAUGUAGCACGAAGAACACGUUAACACAAUCAAUACGUGAUUUUCACAGUUAUAUUCAGUGGUGUAAUUUCUAACACAAUGAUAAUCCCUAUUUAUAGAGUCUCUGUCACCUCAAUCUCGCCUUUUUUCCUAUUGUUUCCUCUUCUCUUCCUGUUUCAGAACCUGUUCUUCUUUUCUUAAUAAUGAUCUAUUUCCCUUCAAAUCUUAAAACAAAGUAGGGACUACUGACAAAUCUUGGAUCAAAGUAAGGUGAUAGUGCACAAAUGGAUAAAAUGUCUCUCAGCAGUAAAUAGGCAGAAUGUAACCCAUUAAUAAAAAUCUGAAAACAUCAUAGCAUAGACUGUAUAGGAAUUUGUCAGUAUUCAAGGUAUAUGAAAUACUCACAAAUCUAAGAGCCCUUAAGGUAGGCUCUGAGCUCAGCAGGUUUCUCAACGCUCUCAGAAUGGUGUGAUGUCUAGAGCUUCAAAUGCCAGAUCCCAGCAGUGGUACUCUUCCACUUUGAAGAUCAAGAACCAAUGAGGUGAGUAUAAAUACAGUUUAUUUAAACAUAUAUAAAAAAGCACAAAAAAACUGAGGUGGAGUAAACAGGCACAACGCGUUUUGACCACAGCAGUGGUCUUCCUCAGGUGCAAAUACCUUGACACAUAAAAAUCCCCAUAUCUAUAUACCUUUUAAUGUCCUUCAUAUCGUCUAGGUGUGUAGUUUACUCUUCUGUCCAUACAUGGUCCGUUCUUCGUGAACAUCUGCCACUCGCAAUAUGGCGGUAAUAUCCGGUUUUCAUGUCCACUGGAUAUUACCGCCAUAUUGAGAGCUUUGUUGUGUUUUUAUGUACGUUUCAAGAAAGUGUAUACAGAAAUUAGACCUACGUAAAUGUAUCCAGAAUUUACGUAUGUAUUAGUGUUUUUAGUAAUACAACACUUGGGUGAAUAUUUGCUGCGCUGGUUGUCUUAUUGUGGCGCCACUAAUCCUUAAAUACAUUUUUAGUAUUUGACAAAUCUUGACAAAUGACAAGGCAAAACAAGUGGAGCUUAAUAAAAAAAAAAAGUAACCCAAAGAGCACCAGAUUAAGUUUGCAUAUAAAACAAAUUAUUCAUCCAGUGAUUCAAUAAAAAUAGUUUUAAAAAAAGUGCAAACAGCAGUGUAGGCAUGUAAACAUUAAGUCAACAUAAAGGGUUAGUAUGCCUACAAUAUUAUGGGUUUGUGGGAUUUCUAACUAAGCACUUAUCUCUGUACUUGCACUUUUCUUGUACUAUAUUUAUUGAAUCACUGGAUGAAUAUAUCUUUUUAAAGGCAAACUUAAUCUGGUGUGGUUUUUUUUUUUUUUUUACUGUGUGCCUGCAUCUGGUGGGGGAACAGAUUCUUCCCACGAAGGACCCAACAACUUUUUUUUUUUACCACACUUUCACCCAUAUAGAGGUUGAGCGCUCAUUACAUAUUUGUAUAUGCAAAGGUAGUGGAGCUUGCCUUAUGCCUACGAUUGUCACGAAUACAUCCAAUAAAAUAAAUCCUGUGUUUUAAAGAGAAAUAGAUCGGAAAUGAAGAAAAGAAGAACGGAUUCUGAAAGAGGAAGAGAAAACUAAACAAUAGGAGAAAGUUUUAGUUGCAGUACCACUUUAAGCAAAAUACAUUUUAAAAUGGCUAAUUUUUUUCUCUGUAAAACAUCUUUUUUAAGUUUAUCAAAUAAUGAACUUUUUGCAAAUAUAAAUAAAAAAAAAAUACUUACG